UACGGAGGGGGCUAGCGUUGUUCGGAAUUACUGGGCGUAAAGCGCACGUAGGCGGCUUUGCAAGUCAGAGGUGAAAGCCCGGGGCUCAACCCCGGAAUUGCCUUUGAGACUGCAUCGCUAGAAUUGUGGAGAGGUAAGUGGAAUUCCGAGUGUAGAGGUGAAAUUCGUAGAUAUUCGGAAGAACACCAGUGGCGAAGGCGACUUACUGGACACAUAUUGACGCUGAGGUGCGAAAAGCGUGGGGGAGCAAACAGG
rnacentral:rRNA from 1 species